rnacentral:rRNA from 1 species
UACAGAGGGUGCGAGCGUUAAUCGGAAUUACUGGGCGUAAAGCGCGCGUAGGCGGCUUUUCAAGUCGAUUGUGAAAUCCCCGGGCUUAACCUGGGAACUGCAUUUGUGACUGGCGGGCUAGAGUAUGGCAGAGGGGGGUAGAAUUCCACGUGUAGCAGUGAAAUGCGUAGAGAUGUGGAGGAAUACCGAUGGCGAAGGCAGCCCCCUGGGCCAAUACUGACGCUCAUGCACGAAAGCGUGGGGAGCAAACAGG